UUAGUACUCCCUCCGUUCCGAAUUACUCGUCGCAGAAAUGGAUGUAUCUAGAUGUAUUUUAGUUCUAGAUACAUCCAUUUCUACGGCAAGUAAUUUGGAACGGAGGGAGUACUAG
rnacentral:pre_miRNA from 1 species